AAUAAAGGCAAACCUGUUGAAAAGCAGGGACGCAAAGCCAAGGGUCUAAGAUCAGCAUUGCUGAUUAUGACAGCCGGUUGCCAC
rnacentral:ncRNA from 1 species